rnacentral:misc_RNA from 1 species
CCUCUUAAAUUUCUACAAAAAUCCUCUGUCGGUGCAUUCACCUCCACUCAUUCUCCAACAGAUACGCAAAAAGUGCUCCAACUGCUAACUUAUUGAAAGCCAAAUUCCAUUUGAUUCCAUUUGAAGUAAAGAAACAAAUCCCAAAUUGAUAGAACAAUUAAGCUCCAAUCCACUUUAAUUGACUACCCAUUUCUUGAAUUUGAACCAGAUACUAAAU